GACAGAGGCCUCGAGCGUUAGGCGGAAUCACUGGGCUUAAAGCGUGUGUAGGUGGAUGCCUAAGUACCUUGUGAAAUCCCACAGCUUAACUGUGGGAAUUGCUUGGUAUACUGGGUGUCUUGAGCCACUCAGGGGCUACCGGAACAAAUGGUGGAGCGGUGAAAUGCGUAGAUAUCAUUUGGAACGCCAAUGGGUGAAAACAGGUAGCUGGGGGUGUGCUGACACUGAGACACGAAAGCCCAGGGGAGCAAACGGGG
rnacentral:rRNA from 1 species